CCUACGGGUGGCUGCAGUAGGGAAUCUUCGGCAAUGGGCGAAAGCCUGACCGAGCAACGCCGCGUGAAUGAUGAAGGCCUUCGGGUUGUAAAAUUCUGUUAUAAGGGAAGAACGACUUUAGUAGGAAAUGGCUAGAGUGUGACGGUACCUUAUGAGAAAGCCACGGCUAACUACGUGCCAGCAGCCGCGGUAAUACGUAGGUGGCGAGCGUUAUCCGGAAUUAUUGGGCGUAAAGAGCGCGCAGGUGGUUGAUUAAGUCUGAUGUGAAAGCCCACGGCUUAACCGUGGAGGGUCAUUGGAAACUGGUCGACUUGAGUGCAGAAGAGGGAAGUGGAAUUCCAUGUGUAGCGGUGAAAUGCGUAGAGAUAUGGAGGAACACCAGUGGCGAAGGCGGCUUCCUGGUCUGUAACUGACACUGAGGCGCGAAAGCGUGGGGAGCAAACAGGAUUAGAUACCCGAGUAGUC
rnacentral:rRNA from 1 species